UGUGAGUUAGAGAUUUAGAGUGAGAGAGAUAGUAAAAGGUGGGGAGGGGGAGGGGGAGAGAGAGUUAGAGGGAGAGAGAAGGGAGUGUGAAGGGCAUGCAAUAGCAAACCCAGCCCUGGGCCAGUGAAAGAAGGGAUUAUUCAGCAUGGGCCCGGUGUGCUGGUGCUGGCUGGCUUUAGAGAUACACACCAUGCUAGGCUCAGAGGCAGAGAGACAAGCUCAGAGGCUAACACAGUUGUGCUCAAAAUAUUCUGUUAAUUAUUGUUAUAGUUUGAGUGAUAGUGAUAGAUGGAGUGGGUUGAAGUAAUAGUAAUAUGCAGUGAUAAGGGGGGAUGUUAUAGGUGUUUACCCUUGGAUCUGAAUUUAGUUCAUCUUUAUAAAACGGCAAGAUGUCUCUCAAUCACAUUGCACUUCCAAAUAAGAUGUUUGACUUGUCUUACUUUUUCCCACUUGUGGUUGGAAAAACAUUGAAGAAUGGUGGUGUCAAAUAUAUGCAUUUAUUUGUUCUUGCUUUAUUCAGUAUGAUUUGUGUUGCAGCUCUUGACCAAAAGACAGAUACCAAGAACAUAAAGACGAUUUAACAUUAGAUGAAUAAUGAUGGUCCCAAAGCCUGCUUCUUUCCACUUUUGAGGAGUUAAGUCUUAUCCCAAUUGGAUUCAGCACAGGAACAUAAUGAAGGAAGGAACCGAAUACAUAUGAAGACAAAAUUCUGAAUUAUCUCUAGUAAGGAAUGGCUAAAGGUUACUGUCAUUCCUUACAAAAUUAUAACAUUUUCCUUGUUGCUGUCAUAAGAUAACAGACAUGUACAAGCAGGGAUGUGCUUAACAAGGUUAAAAAGAUAGAUACAAAGAAAAUGUGUAUUUUUCUUCUCUAUCUUUGUAUCUAUCUAUCUUUAUAUUGUAUGCAACAUACAAAUAAUAAUGAAUUGCAUUCAUAGAAAUCAUUUGGAGGCUUCACUUAUACUAUACAGGUAAAUAUGGCCAGGUCUAAUCUCCGAUUUGUCAGCCAAGCAAAUGGUGCCGCUUUCAUCACAGCAGAGGAGCUUCACCACGUUGUCUUUUAUAUGCUCCAGACGCCUCCACUCUGUCCCUUCUUCAUCUCUCCACCUAAAGCGGUAUUCGUUACCCAAGCUAUUUGGCUGAUUUUCUUCAACCAGCUGCGGACACAAAUGACUGGGUAAACUCAAAAGGUAACUGUAAACAAUGACCACAUAAUUGUUAUUGUUGAAAUGGAAGCUUGAAAGCUAACCAGUUAACUAUAUAAUUCAAUCACACAUUAUUAUUAAUUUGUCUCAACAUGUCUGUCUUUCUUGGGCAUCUCCCCAACUUGUGUUUAAUAUGAAAUGAGUCAACAUCCAUGUAAUUAAUGCUGAUAUGGGAACGCCAACCUGCUGAAAAUGAUUUGCAUUUGUGGUUAAUUGUAUGAUUAAUAAAAAUGGACGUUACAAAAAAUAACGUGAAACAGCUAGGACUUUUUAAUAUGAGGUGAUCCCGUCUUGGGAUCUAGCCCACACUUGUCCAAAACGAAAACACCCAACUGGCCACACUCACACUGGCAGAUUUGAGCACGGUUAGGUGUGAAAACGGCCACGGCCACGGCCAGAUGGCCUAGUGUGAGUGCACCUCAGAGUGUGAAAGUAGUACAUUUCCUGUAGAGGUACAGACAGAUACUGAAACCGGUUGCCCAAAGGUAUGAUGCACAAAGAGUACAGCAUAGCAAAACUAUAAGGAGAUUAUGAAAGUUGCUUUUAAAAUACAGGCUCCCAAGUCACCACUGUUACCAAUCUGUUGUAUCAAGAGUUUUUGUUGAAAAAUCAGAUUACACCACUCUUGUAGUUGCUAGAAAUUGAGAGGGC
ensembl:lncRNA